CUUAUUGGCAGAAUAUUGCGUUAGAGUUAGAAUCUAACAAUCA
rnacentral:tRNA from 1 species